UUGAGUUUGCCAGAAAGGGAGCCCCACCCACAUGGUGAGACUCACAGACAGAACAAAAGACAAAGCUUAUAUAGGUUUCAAUUUAGGAAAGUGGAGAACUGGGUAUGGGGUAUUUCUGAAUUGGAUAAGACUUCUUGCUGGGGGCUUGCAGGGUAGGAAUAAGGGAUAUGGUAUUCCUUGAUUGGACAGAUCUUAUUGCUGGGGUUAGUAACAGGAAAGUGUCUUCUUCAGAUUAGUUAUCUCUUGAAACCCCACCCUAAUAGAUAGGACUAUUUUGAACAGUUGCUGUCUCUGCAGAAAGGAAGGUGGAAGGAAGGAAGUGGUGUGAUACAAAGAAGAUCAGAACAAGAUAGAGGAAUUGCAGACAAAACAAGCCUCCCAAACACCGAGCUAGCUCUUGCAAUGCGUGUGUCAACCUCAUUAUCAAAGUGUACACCCAUGGAAAGUAUACUACCAAGGAUGAAUUUAAACUGGGGAAGAAGAAAGAGAAGAAGAAAAGGAUGUUGAGUGAAUUUUUCUGAAAGACUAAUCCCAUUGCCUGAAGACUAAUGCCAUCACCUAAGAACCUUUGUCUUGUAUCACAUGUCUUGGCUGUGGUUAAGGAGUUUCAAAAUGGGAGGUCUAAAUGAUGUAAUCUCAAUUCUAUGUCAUCAAUAGCCAAUCAGAAGAAGAUACACCUAUGUGGCUCAAGAUUUUGCUUUGUCAUCUCUAUAACUGUUUAUAAAGGACCUUCUCAGGCUUCAACUCAAGAAAGUACACUGACCCAAUUUCUUGAUUACUAUCAUCCUAAUUAAUAAAUUGAUCAUGCUUGAAAAUGUGUGCCUCAAUUUGCCUUAAUUUUUACUGUAACAACCUUUGAGACCACUGACUUUUCUAUAAAACUUAGGCUCCUAGGGGGAAAAAAUCAUAAUAGCUUACAUUUACAUGGUGAUUUAAUGUUUGCAAAGGACUUUAUAAAA